ACGCUCGACACCUACAGGAGGCAGCAGUGGGGAAUAUUGCACAAUGGGGGAAACCCUGAUGCAGCAACGCCGCGUGAAGGAAGACGGUUUUCGGAUUGUAAACUUCUGUUCUUAGUGAAGAUAGUGACGGUAGCUAAGGAGCAGGCCACGGCUAACUACGUGCCAGCAGCCGCGGUAAUCUGAGCGGGCUGGCAAGGC
rnacentral:rRNA from 1 species